CUCCGUUUCACAAUGUAAGUCAUUCUAGCAUUUUCCAUAUUUAUAUUGAUGCCAAUGAAUCUAGACAUAUAUAUCUAUCUAAAUUCAUUAACAUCAAUAUGAAUGUGGGAAAUGCUAGAAUGACUUACAUUGUGAAACGG
rnacentral:misc_RNA from 1 species